CGCUGGCGGCGUGCCUAAUACAUGCAAGUCGAGCGGACAGAAGGGAGCUGCUCCCGGAUGUUAGCGGCGGACGGGUGAGUAACACGUGGGUAACCUGCCUGUAAGACUGGGAUAACUCCGGGAAACCGGAGCUAAUACCGGAUAGUUCCUUGAACCGCAUGGUUCAAGGAUGAAAGACGGUUUCGGCUGUCACUUACAGAUGGACCCGCGGCGCAUUAGCUAGUUGGUGAGGUAACGGCUCACCAAGGCGACGAUGCGUAGCCGACCUGAGAGGGUGAUCGGCCACACUGGGACUGAGACACGGCCCAGACUCCUACGGGAGGCAGCAGUAGGGAAUCUUCCGCAAUGGACGAAAGUCUGACGGAGCAACGCCGCGUGAGUGAUGAAGGUUUUCGGAUCGUAAAGCUCUGUUGUUAGGGAAGAACAAGUGCAAGAGUAACUGCUUGCACCUUGACGGUACCUAACCAGAAAGCCACGGCUAACUACGUGCCAGCAGCCGCGGUAAUACGUAGGUGGCAAGCGUUGUCCGGAAUUAUUGGGCGUAAAGGGCUCGCAGGCGGUUUCUUAAGUCUGAUGUGAAAGCCCCCGGCUCAACCGGGGAGGGUCAUUGGAAACUGGGAAACUUGAGUGCAGAAGAGGAGAGUGGAAUUCCACGUGUAGCGGUGAAAUGCGUAGAGAUGUGGAGGAACACCAGUGGCGAAGGCGACUCUCUGGUCUGUAACUGACGCUGAGGAGCGAAAGCGUGGGGAGCGAACAGGAUUAGAUACCCUGGUAGUCCACGCCGUAAACGAUGAGUGCUAAGUGUUAGGGGGUUUCCGCCCCUUAGUGCUGCAGCUAACGCAUAAGCACCCGCUUGGGGGUUUCUGCCUUGU
rnacentral:rRNA from 1 species